AGUGAACGCUGGCGGUAGGCCUAACACAUGCAAGUCGAACGGCAGCACAGUAAGAGCUUGCUCUUACGGGUGGCGAGUGGCGGACGGGUGAGGAAUACAUCGGAAUCUACUUUUUCGUGGGGGAUAACGUAGGGAAACUUACGCUAAUACCGCAUACGACCUACGGGUGAAAGCAGGGGAUCUUCGGACCUUGCGCGAUUGAAUGAGCCGAUGUCGGAUUAGCUAGUUGGCGGGGUAAUGGCCCACCAAGGCGACGAUCGGUAGCUGGUCUGGGAGGAUGGACGGCCACAUUGGGACUGAGAGACGGCGCAGACUCCGACGGGAGGAAGCAGUGGGGAAUAUUGCACAAUGGGCGCAAGGCUGAUGCAGCGACGCCGCGGGGGGGAUGACGGCCUUCGGGUUGAAAACUCCUUUCGCUAGGGACGAAGCUUUUUGUGACGGUACCUAGAUAAGAAGCACCGGCUAACUACGUG
rnacentral:rRNA from 1 species